rnacentral:rRNA from 1 species
AUGAACGCUGGCGGCAUGCCUAACACAUGCAAGUCGAUCGGUAAGGCUCUUCGGAGUACACGAGAGGCGGACGGCUGAGUAACGCGUAGGAACACACCCUGCAGUGAGGGAUAAGACACCGAAAGGUGUUCUAAUACCGCAUACGGUCUUCGGAUUAAAGCAUUUAUGCGCUGAAGGAGUGGCCUGCGUCAUAUUAGAUAGUUGGUGAGGUAAUGGCUCACCAAGUCGAUGAUGUGUAGCUGGUCUGAGAGGAUGAUCAGCCAGACUGGAACUGAGACACGGUCCAGACUCCUACGGGAGGCAGCAGUGAGGAAUAUUGCACAAUGAGCGAAAGCUUGAUGGAGCAAUGCCGCGUGCAGGAUGAAGGCCCUCGGGUUGUAAACUGCUUUUAUAAGAGAAGAUUAUGACGGUAACUUAUGAAUAAGGGACGGCUAACUACGUG